UUAACCGAAAAAACUUCAAAGACCAAUGAAAACAUUUCCCUUCUCCACAUCAGUUACCUUUCUUCUUCGUUUAUCAUCGUUGAUUUUUGAUAUUGGACUUCGGAGGUUUCGAUGAUAGCUAUGUAAAGCUUAAUCCAAGUCCUUUAGUUUAUCUACCACUUCUCCACUAAAGCUCUCUAGCCGUAGGCAUAAUUCUUCGCUGUCUGCCUCUUUGUGAGGUUUCGACUACAGUCUGCGACAAAGCCGAGUCUCAGAUGUGAUCUGGUGGUGUCCAUGGAUGGUGUUGAUUUGAUAGAGGAGGAGUAUCAACUCCUGAUCCAAGAGAGAUUUCAUAUACGGCUCUGAUCAUCUUGCGUAGAUUUUGCCUCAAAGUGAAACUGCAGAUACAUUAUCUUUAUUUAUUAACUUCUGUGUUUAAAGAAAUUAGGUUUUUUUUUGGAAUUGAUCUUUGCUACUGCUUGCAUUAUAUUUGAUUAUGACUCAGCUUCCUCUUGAAUUAGAUAAAGAGUGACUAGCUUGACGGUUUUUCAGAGAUUUUUCCCAAAAAAGUUGUCUUUUGACAAAACGUCUGACUUUCUUCAACAGAUUCAAACAAAGAGUUGAGUUUUCUUUUGGUAUUUGAUGAGUCAAUUCUAAGUUUGAUUCAGUGGAAUAGUUAUUGGCGUUGUUUAGGCUUUGUUGCAGCUCAUGUAGCUUAUUGUAAGUUUAUAUUUUUUUGUUGAGAGGUUUGAAAGGAUGACACACAGUGGUAAAGAUGAAACUAUAGCAUCUCAAUGUGCCAGUGCUAUGGUUGAGAUCAAUAUAAUGACGUAUAAGUUCAGUUGAACCCAUGUUCUAUCUUCAUUGCUGCAUACAUAUAUCUAGAUCCAUAAGAGAUGUAUCUUAAGAAUGCGGAGUUCAACAGGAAACUAUUGACACAAAGUAUAAACUCCGUGAGACGAUGAAAAGACCAAUCUUGAGUAAGAACCGUCGAUAACACAGCAUGAGCUCCAACCACAAGAUCAGUUUCUCAUAUUUGCUUCAGACAGACUAUGGGAACAGCUGACCUACCAAGAAGUUGUUGACAUCGUUCAGAACCAUUCACGGAACGUGUGCAUUAGACCCCAUUUUCCUCAAGAAAAAAAAACUUAUUAGAGAACCAAAUAUUGAGUCUGACAUAUGCUGUGAAUGACCAACACAAGGGACAGAUGUAGACUGGUGAAGAUGGCCCUGCAAGCUGCAGCAAAAAAAAAGAGAAAAAUGAUAUCUACUGAUGUGAAGAAGAUAGAGAGAGGCAUGAGAAGGCAUUUCCAUGAUGACAUCAUUGUGGUAGUCAUCUUCUUUGGUACCAAUGUAGUGAGCUCUGCCAAAGGACCCUCUCUUUCUGUGGUAGUCACUGUAGCAGUCAUCUUCCUUGAUACUUCCUCCCUCUUUUUAGAUUCCCAUCUUUUGUAGCUAAGUAUAUGCAAUAUGUCACUCUUUGUAGGUAUAAGAAUGAUAUAAUUGUAACGUGAAAGCCACAUACUACUGACUUAUGGAACUCAAUUCCAGUGUA